UACGUAGGGUGCGAGCGUUAAUCGGAAUUACUGGGCGUAAAGCGUGCGCAGGCGGUCUGUUAAGACCGAUGUGAAAUCCCCGGGCUUAACCUGGGAACUGCAUUGGUGACUGGCAGGCUUUGAGUGUGGCAGAGGGAGGUAGAAUUCCACGUGUAGCAGUGAAAUGCGUAGAGAUGUGGAGGAAUACCGAUGGCGAAGGCAGCCUCCUGGGCCAACACUGACGCUCAUGCACGAAAGCGUGGGGGAGAAACAGG
rnacentral:rRNA from 1 species